AUGAACGCUAGCUACAGGCUUAACACAUGCAAGUCGAGGGGCAUCAGGAAGAAAGCUUGCUUUCUUUGCUGGCGACCGGCGCACGGGUGAGUAACACGUAUCCAACCUGCCCUUUACUCGGGGAUAGCCUUUCGAAAGAAAGAUUAAUACCCGAUGGCAUAAUGAUUCCGCAUGGUUUCAUUAUUAAAGGAUUCCGGUAAAGGAUGGGGAUGCGUUCCAUUAGGUUGUUGGUGAGGUAACGGCUCACCAAGCCUUCGAUGGAUAGGGGUUCUGAGAGGAAGGUCCCCCACAUUGGAACUGAGACACGGUCCAAACUCCUACGGGAGGCAGCAGUGAGGAAUAUUGGUCAAUGGGCGCUAGCCUGAACCAGCCAAGUAGCGUGAAGGAUGAAGGCUCUAUGGGUCGUAAACUUCUUUUAUAUAAGAAUAAAGUGCAGUAUGUAUACUGUUUUGUAUGUAUUAUAUGAAUAAGGAUCGGCUAACUCCGUGCCAGCAGCCGCGGUAAUACGGAGGAUCCGAGCGUUAUCCGGAUUUAUUGGGUUUAAAGGGAGCGUAGGUGGACUGGUAAGUCAGUUGUGAAAGUUUGCGGCUCAACCAUAAAAUUGCAGUUGAUACUGUCAGUCUUGAGUACAGUAGAGGUGGGCGGAAUUCGUGGUGUAGCGGUGAAAUGCUUAGAUAUCACGAAGAACUCCGAUUGCGAAGGCAGCUCACUGGACUGCAACUGACACUGAUGCUCGAAAGUGUGGGUAUCAAACAGGAUUAGAUACCCUGGUAGUCCACACAGUAAACGAUGAAUACUCGCUGUUUGCGAUAUACAGUAAGCGGCCAAGCGAAAGCAUUAAGUAUUCCACCUGGGGAGUACGCCGGCAACGGUGAAACUCAAAGGAAUUGACGGGGGCCCGCACAAGCGGAGGAACAUGUGGUUUAAUUCGAUGAUACGCGAGGAACCUUACCCGGGCUUAAAUUGCAGUGGAAUGAUGUGGAAACAUGUCAGUGAGCAAUCACCGCUGUGAAGGUGCUGCAUGGUUGUCGUCAGCUCGUGCCGUGAGGUGUCGGCUUAAGUGCCAUAACGAGCGCAACCCUUAUCUUUAGUUACUAACAGGUUAUGCUGAGGACUCUAGAGAGACUGCCGUCGUAAGAUGUGAGGAAGGUGGGGAUGACGUCAAAUCAGCACGGCCCUUACGUCCGGGGCUACACACGUGUUACAAUGGGGGGUACAGAAGGCAGCUAGCGGGUGACCGUAUGCUAAUCCCAAAAGCCUCUCUCAGUUCGGAUCGAAGUCUGCAACCCGACUUCGUGAAGCUGGAUUCGCUAGUAAUCGCGCAUCAGCCACGGCGCGGUGAAUACGUUCCCGGGCCUUGUACACACCGCCCGUCAAGCCAUGGGAGCCGGGGGUACCUGAAGUACGUAACCGCAAGGAUCGUCCUAGGGUAAAACUGGUGACUGGGGCU
rnacentral:rRNA from 1 species